UACGGGGGGAGCAAGCGUUGUUCGGAUUUACUGGGCGUAAGGGGCGCGUAGGCGGUCAGCACAAGUCAAUUGUGAAAUCUCCGAGCUUAACUCGGAAAGGUCAACUGAAACUGUGCGACUAGAGUGCGGAAGGGGCAACUGGAAUUCUUGGUGUAGCGGUGAAAUGCGUAGAUAUCAAGAGGAACACCUGCGGCGAAGGCGGGUUGCUGGGCCGACACUGACGCUGAAGCGCGAAAGCCAGGGGAGCGAACGGG
rnacentral:rRNA from 1 species